AUUGAACGCUGGCGGCAGGCCUAACACAUGCAAGUCGAGCGGAUGAAGGGAGCUUGCUCCUGGAUUCAGCGGCGGACGGGUGAGUAAUGCCUAGGAAUCUGCCUGGUAGUGGGGGAUAACGUCCGGAAACGGGCGCUAAUACCGCAUACGUCCUGAGGGAGGAAGUGGGGGAUCUUCGGACCUCACGCUAUCAGAUGAGCCUAGGUCGGAUUAGCUAGUUGGUGGGUUAAAGGCCUACCAAGGCGACGAUCCGUAACUGGUCUGAGAGGAGGAUCAGUCACACUGGAACUGAGACACGGUCCAGACUCCUACGGGAGGCAGCAGUGGGGAAUAUUGGACAAUGGGCGAAAGCCUGAUCCAGCCCUGCCGCGUGUGUGAAGAAGGUCUUCGGAUUGUAAAGCACUUUAAGUUGGGAGGAAGGGCAGUAAGUUAAUACCUUGCUGUUUUGACGUUACCAACAGAAUAAGCACCGGCUAACUUCGUG
rnacentral:rRNA from 1 species